CUGCUUCUGGUGAGGGCCUCAGGCUGCUUCACUUAUGGCAGAAGGGAAAGGAAAGCUGUAUGUGCAGAGAUCACAUGGGGAGAGAGGAAGCAAGGUGGAGAUGAGGGAAAGAGCCAUGCUCUUUUUAGCAAUCAGCUCUUUCAGGGAAACUAGCAGAGUGAGAACUCACCCCCAAGGGAGAGGGCAUUAAUCUAUUCAAGGGAUUCACCCCACAACCCAAACACGGAUCUCCCAUUAGGCCCCACCUGGGAUCAAGUUUCAAUAGGAGUUUAGAAGGGGACAAAUAUUCAAACCACAGCAAUACCCUUCUUCAGUCUGUUCUUUAUUGGUUGGUAUUCUAACUGCCGGUUAUUAUUCCUCUGCUGGAAGAAACUAACAGUUCCCAACCAUAUGUUUUCAUAGUACAUAAUACUCAUCUUUCCUUGUGUAUAAGAUUAUUCUUUUACUUAAAAUAUAUCCGAAACUUCUUGCUAAAACAUUUCAUAAUGGUUCAAUUUUGUUACAUUUACUCAUAUUUAAAAGGAUUUUAUUAAAAGUAUAUUAAGAAUAUCAUUUUAUGUUUGAUUUUAUUAAUGCCAGUUAAUAAGCUUACAUUCCAGUAACCAAAGCCCAAUUAUUUAAUGUAUGGCAGGUGGAGUUGAAAUCUGUGGCUAAAAGAAAUUGAGGGUCGUAAGAUACAGUACUUAAAAAUCUGUGUGCAUUUGCUUGGAUGAUUUCAACUACUAUAGUAGUUUAGUAUAAAAUGCUAAGUUGAAUAAGGGUUUUGAUAGUUGCUUAAUAGUCACAUUUUUUGAAAUGUUUAUUUUAGACUUUUGGUGGUGAUUUCCUAUGCUUAUACAAACAUUUUCAGCAGGCCCCUAUGUUUUUAACUCAUCUGACGAUAUGGUGUAAUUCAUCUUAAUUUACUGGGUAUUGUUGGGUUUUAGACAUCUUCUCCAGAUAGCCUCACAAGCCUUUGUAUACACUGGAUUAUUUUAGGACAUUUACAGUGAGGUAAGGCAGCAGCUUAUUCGAGGGCAUUAUCCUGUUGGCCUCUUUGAUCUAAGAUCCUUUCUGAGAGAGCCACUCAUUAGGUAAGUACCCUUCAAAGGAGAGCAAGGGUGCAGAAAUGAUAAGAUCAAUUUAUUUUUUACUUCGUGCCAACAUGAGAAAAGACAAAUCACAUAUUUUUAGGACGGAAUCCUAAGUGCCUAGCAAUUUGGACAGGAUAAAUGGGGUCUGGGAGAAGAGUUUUGAAGCCAAUUGUUACUUAAAAUUGAUAAACUCAAUAAACAAGAGGGUUGUGCUAGCCUACAGAGAUAUUAUGGGGAUUGACUGAGAUUAUAAAUUCAUGAGAAAGUGAUUUUUAAUCCACAAAAGGCUAUACAUAUAUUAAUAUGUUAUUUACAUCCAUUACAGUUAGCAUACACUAAUCCUGUCUUUAAUUUACAAUUUGGCCUUCUCCAUUCAAGAAUUUCUUUUUUUUUUUGCUAUAAUACUAUUCUUUCUCUAACCAGUAGUUUAUUUAGAAAAACUUUAACAUGCCCAAUUAAAAAAAUAUUAAAUACUAUGGUAAUGUAUCCUAGAAUGUCCUAUUUGUCAUCUGUUUCUCUUUACUACCUGCUCAGUUCCGACAGGUAUUUAAAUCAGCUAGAACACUGAUGAAGCCUAAUGAAGCUUUUUGAGUUACAUGUACUGAUUCAGGACAGGUAGCAGAGAGGGAAGGAAUAAAUGUCACAAAAAACGACUCACUCAAAAUCAAGUUUGGUUUUAGCUGCAGGCAGUGACAUAAAUGCACAGUUGCUUACCACUCCAGAUUUCUGUUUCCUUCUUUUAACUCUGAAGUUGAUGGCUUAUAGUCUACAGCAAAAACAAAACAAAAUGACAAAAAAAACCGAUGCUGAACAUAAAACUUAUAGUGGGUAAGUAAAACUUAACUAUAAAGAAAAUAACUUUAGAAUAGAGGAAUGUUCCAGUUAGCUUCAAAUGCAAGAAUCAGAAAACCCCACAUUCCAGAAGCUCAUACAAGUAGCUUUGUAAUCACUAGGGACUCAUGUUCCUUCUGUCUUGACAUUUUGCCGUUUUUAGCAUUUGCUUGCACCUCUUAGUGUGAGACUUCCACUUCAGUUCCAGCUAUCCAACAAUCCCUGUUCCAUCCAUCAGAAAGCAGACAUGAGAAAGAAACCUCCCUGUCCUUGAAGUUACACAUCCCAUCCAUUGACAUCUGAGUCAUUUCACAGUUUAUUCAAUAUUUGCUGAGCAUCUGCUAUGUGCAAGGACUGUUCUAAGCCCUAGGCACUUAUCUAAGCCCUGUUCUUAGUGAACAGAAAGGACUCUAUGAACAAAAAUCCUCCUGUUGGUGGAGCUUAUAUUUUACUAGAUGUGAGAACAAGUGUGGGGGAAGGGGCCCACUGGCCAGGGUUUUAAGCCACAUGGUCAUACUUAGCUUCAAGACCAAGCAGGGAAAUGUAGCCUUUAGUUGCAUUCUGGGAAUCCAGUUCCAAGGAAGGAAAGGAAAGAAUGGAUAUUAGGGGUAAUUAGCAGUCUCUGACAACGUGAAUGAAGUUUGAAGAAAAAUAGGUCAACUGGUAUGUUAUGUCACUUAUCAGUAAAAAACAACUUUGCAAUUACACCUCUAGUCUAUUCCUAAUAGACAUUUAUUUGUAUACAUGUAUGUUUAGUGCAUAUCUGAGUUCAUUUCUGGGUACCAUGGUUGGUAGACUGUGAGGAGGCAUGUAGUGAGCAAACAAGCUGAAGUAUACCUGAAAAUCUCAUCAUGCUGGGGAUAGCUCCACUGGUAAGGGGUAUUAGGUCCAGAGAAGGCCAAGAAGACAGAUGCUUCUUUUAACUAUUAAAUAAGUGACUGUAAGAAGAAAACUGGACUUGAUUCAUGCUGCCUCAGAUGAUUGUGCUGGAGUUGGUAGGCAAAAUUUGAGAGGAGGAAGAUUUUUCUUUUAGUGCAAAAGAACUCUGUAGCAGUAGGAAUGGUCUCACGUGUUCUGCAUGCUGCAGAGGAAAUUUUCAUCCCAAGUGAAAGGCAAAGGCAAUCUCCAAGACCCCUCCUGUAUGUAAUUCCACUAAAUAAAUGCCCUGUCACAUAGAUGAUACUUAGGAAAUGCUGGGAUCUUUUUCAUUCCUUCCCUUGAGGAACUUAAUUUGAAUGCAGAAACUCUGCCAAUAAAAAAAAAAAAGAAAAGAGAAAGAAAGAAAUAAAAAGGAAAGUUACUGCGUGGUUUAGGACACUGCUCUAAUACAUCCACAGUAGAAUUUUCCCUGAAUUUUUAGGCGUUUAUUUUUCGUAAAACUCUUAGGUUAUUAAAUAUAUGAGCCAAGCAGGGAUGAGUUAAAUUGCAUGUCAGGUAGAAGUUCAUCCUUGCCUUGAGGAAUGUACUAUCUUGGAUUAAAAUGUCUUCAGAGAAUUAAAUUAGCCCAGGCAUAUAUACUAUUCAGUGCAUGCAGACUUUAGGUGAUGUGAUUAAUAUUACCAGUGAACACUUAUUAAGUGCUGAUUCCAUGGACUAAGUACUUCAUCCAGAUAGUGCUGUCACCUCCUGUGAGGCAGGGAGUAAUAUUGCCCCAUUCUGUGGAUGGAGACGCUGAGGCUCAUAUAUGUGGAACUCAAAUACAAGUCUAUUUGACACUAUAGUUCACAGUCUUAGCCAUUGAAAGCACUGUCUCCCAAUGAAGAACUUGGGAUAUCAGUGUAAGAAUUUCAAGUGUGGGAACAGUGGCACCAGUUUUCGUUAAAUAGUAGAAAGCAGUGGGCAGAUAGGUGCUUCUUCCCUUCUUUGGGGUAGGAGGACAGCAGGAUGGGGAGGUGGUGGGAGGAAGGGGGCCUGAGGAGAACUAGUUGGAGAAGGCCUUUGAAGUUGGCUUUCUUAUCUUAAAACAAAAUAAGGGACACACUGUCUUCUGGCCAAAAACAUGCACUGUAUGUAUAGUUUUAAUAGUGAAAAAUGUCAGUCAAAAAGGCCCUCAGCCUGGUGGUUUUUAAUGGAAAUACAAACAUUUUCUGAGCUAGAGAAGUAUAGUCUUUCAGCUUAAAUAAUCAUAAUCAGCAGUUAAAUAAUCUAAAUGCUUGUGAAUCAUAGAGUUUAAAUAAUUCCAAGCACCAUACUUCAUGUUAUCUCUAUCCUCACAGCAGCCGCAUAGGGACUAGGGAAGGUCACCCAUUAAAAAAAGGGAAAAAAAAUAUUCAGGCCUUCCAACCUCCUAAAAGAUGGCAAGUCAGAGGAGGCAGUCUUGGCCCUUUCUUUUAAUCCAAGGGCAACAACAUAUUGAAAGAAUUCUGAGCAGUACCUGAUCUAAUGCUGAAGGGGGCGUUGCCAGAUUUAACCCCUUGAGGCGAGGGACAGGGCAGCCACAUCACACAAAGAAACACUAAGGAGCUGAGAGUACAGAGGAAGCACAUAUCAAAUCCUGAAGGAAUAAUUAUUUAUGUAAUCUCAGCACUUUGGGAGGCUGAGGCCGGUGGAUCACUUGAGCUCAGGAGUUCGAGACCAGUGUGGGCAAUAUGGCAAAACCAUGUCUCUACAAAAAAAUACGAAAAGUUAGCCAGGCAUGGUGUUGCGUACCUGUGGCCCCAGCUACUCAGGAGGCUGAGAUGGGAGGAUCUCUUGAGCCUGGGAGGUUGAAGCUGCAGUGAACUGUGAUUGCAUUACUGCACUCCUGCCUGGGUGACGGAAUGAGACCCUGUCUCAAAAAAAAAAAAAAAAAAAAAAAAAAAAAAGAAAAAAAAGAGAGAGAGAGAAAAGAAAGAAAAGAAAAAGAAUUAUUGGUGCAGUGAGCAGAACCCUGAGCACCCUAGUUCAUAGCCUGACUCUGCCAGUUGUAGUUGGUUGAGCCCAGAUACACCUGACCUGGUCUUUCCAUCUGGUAACAGACCUGUGGACUCAGAUGACUUCAUUAAUAUUCAGUGAUUCUCUGAGCCCAUGGCUCUCAACUAGGGGUGGUUUUACCUCUCAGGGGAACAUUUGGCAAGGUCUGGAGACAUUUUUGGUCAUCCCAACUGGAAGGAAGGUGCCACUGGCAUCCAAUCGGUAGAGGCCAGGAGGCUGCUAAACAUCGUACGACACAUAGGGCAGCCCCAACAACAAAGAAUUUUCUGGCCCAAAAUACCAGUGGUACUGAGGUUGAGAAACCUGUAACUAGCCUCAUUUUUUAGACUGGUGUUUCUUAAACUAGGGAAGAGAGAAGAGCUUUGUAGGGUCUCAUCUCUGAUUUAACUGGACUUAUUUUCACAUGGAAUUCACACAGGAUGUAUUUUCCCAUUCAGCACAAUGAUCAGGCAUAGAGGUUGUAGUGGCCUGGGGACUUCCCAUUCUGUGUAGAUGAUUUUGACCUCUUGAUUCUGGCUUGCUUUCUUGGCAUUAAAGACCAGCUCACCAUGUAGGUCCCCAGUGGAGUUGACAGUUCUCAGAUUCAAAUCCUCAGGGGAUGGAGCUCCCUAUGAGAUGUAAACCCUGGCUGGGAUCCAAAAGACCUGUUCCAUCAAUGCAUGCUGCUUGGCAGACAACACAAUUCUGUCUAGCUCCAAAAUUCCAUCAUUCUUUAACCUGUGGUUCUUUCUGGUCCACAGUGUGCCCAACUUUAAAUUGAGAGUGUGAAAUUGGACAGUCCUCAAGGGUUAGGCUGGUCCUAUAAAUUGAUGCACAGUUACAAUGGCCCCUUUUACUCUCUUUCCACUUCUGUCUCUCCUUUCCAUUUGUUCCUUUCUUCACAACAUCCCUCUGGGUAGCCAGAUCUUUUUCUAGGGAAACACUUCUUACAGUGUUCAUUUAGAGCAGAAAGGAUAGAAGAGAAAUGAGAACACUGGUGAGGUGGACAAUCUAUGCCAGUACAGGGCAUGUGGACAUCCAAGGGAAACCAACUGCUGCCUGGAUGCCAGAUGCCUGCCUCAACCCUGAAGGGCAGGUCUUGGGCAAAUCCCAGUUCGUAGGGUUUCUCUGCCUCCCUGUAACAUUUUCUUUGCCUUGGUAAAAUCCAGUCCAAAUAUUAUCAAGCGAAGUCUCAACCCUAAGGAUGAAGAGGGUAAACAUCAAGAUCUGUUUCCUCACUGGAAGGAGCUAUUACAAAAGGAUCCAAGUCAAUGAAGACUUAGAGGAUUUUAAGGGAGGAAUAGCAUGGAGGUGGGCUUUGAAUGUUCUUGAUCUCUCCUAAAUACUCAAUAAAUGUUUGUCAAAUGAAUGAAUGAAUGUUGAUGAAAAUUAUACUUUGCUUUUUGCUGGCUGCCUCUUUUUCCUUUCCCCCUUUCUUACCCACUCUGUCUUCUCCUCCACUCCAUCUCCUGUUUCUUUUUUUCCUUCCUCUCUUCCUUCUCUUCACUUUUCCCCAUCUUUCUCUCUCCUCUUUGUCUUUUUUUCCCCCCUUUCCUAUCCCUGUUCUGGUGCUUUACAAAGCACAAGGGUUCAACAUGCUUUCCGCAUUUUCUCAACAUAAUGGUUGUCUUGUUAGAUUCUAAUUUUGACUUUUGGGCAGGAGGCAGACCAAAGCAGACCAAACAUGUGGGAAGAGGGGUGAGAGAGAGAGUGUGCGUGCGUGAGUGAGUUUGGGGGCAGAAAAGGAGAGUCUGGCUCUGGCAAUUUUGCCUGGGGAAUAAGAUGUGUUAAGGGAGACCACUCAGUUUCCAGGAGCAAAGCGAUCGAGAACUAUAGCUCAAAGGCAAGCUGCCAGUCAAGUGGGACGACGAGUCUUUUGUUUUCCAGUCAUGGAAUUUGGGAACCAACAGAUUGUGAAAAUUGAAAUGCAGUGUUUGACUUGAUCUUUUGGUUAAGCCAAUUCCCUGGGAUCUUAAUUCGAACCUGCAGGAAGCUGAGGCCAACUCUGAGAAGUCUGUUAUUACCUCACCCCUGAUGCUUCACUUACUUGAAGACAUUUGCAGAGUACACUGCAGCCAGUGCCAGCAUGCAGUUAUGAUAACAGUUCAAUUGCUGUCUUUCCACUCUAUUUUGAAAUUGGUGUUUUCGUGUUCAUUUCACUGAGCCCUGAGCCUGGAGCUUCUUUCUCUUCCUGGCUCUGCCUCUGGAAGUUUUCUUGGAAAACGUUCCCUUCAAUGUAUUUUCAAGGCUCCUGUCAACUAAUGCUUUAUUAUAAGGCAGUGUGGGAUUGGGUAGGUCCAGUGGUUAUUCUCUGCUUCCCCUCUCCUGGUCAUUUUCCUGGAAACUGACCCCUGUGAGCGGCAUCACUGGGGUUCCCUUGCUGGCUGACUCUGGGGAGGGUCUGGGGCCAGUAAGAGGCACUUCAGGAGAUGGGAGAGGCAGAAGAGAAAAAAAUCUAGAGAAUUUACUCUUGCUUCCCUUCUUGCUUUGGGGCCACAUCUCUGGCCAUAGCAGCUUCUCUCCAUGACUAUAGCUCCCUCUCAGCAGUGCCCAUUCAUGGCUCCCAGUGUCGCUGGGAUUGACUCAUUCCUCCCUUUGGCCCUUCAGCCUGAUGUGUGGUAAUGGCUGUCCAGUGUUGCUAGUGUCUGGAUGCCUCAAGGUCUCAUUUCUUUCACUAACCCUGCCCACCCCUACUUCUGUAGCGUCUCCAUUGAAGUCUCCUCACUGGAAUAAUCUGUGUCGAAUUCUGUUGCCUUCAGGACUUAGACCAGUACAGUGGGGAAGGCCAUGGUGCCGUGGUCAAAUACAUAAGAUUUGUUGGAAUGAUUUGGAAUGAUUUAACAAUCAUUUGUUAAAUCAUUUAAAGGUUUGUUAAAUCAUUGUUAAAUCAUUCUAACAAAUCAUUCUAACAAGUGUUAGAAUACGUUGUUCGAAAAUGUUUACAUUUCCCAUAUUAAGAAAUUCCGGGAAAAUAAGCUGAUUGAUACUAAAGUCAAAGCACUAAAACAAAACCACCAUUCUGUGGUUUAGUAAAGAGAAAUGGCUUUCAAAUGACCCUUCAACAUGAAUGACUUCUGCUGCUCCUACCUUAGAAAGAUGUGGGGCUGGGGUUCCCAGAGCCAGUCUCAGUUUCACGUCAAGUGAAAACAGCCCCAUACUCCUUCCAUGUACAAAGAAAAGCCUCCCCACCUUAUUCUUCAGCCUAGGGAAAGUUGGUUUGACUGAGUUUAUUGAGACAGAAGCAAAGAGAACAUUCUAGGAGUGCCUGGUCAAGUACAAGUCAACUGCCUCCAAGGUAUGGGUAGCAUUCUUGGAGGCAAGCUCAGAGCAUUUUUGGUUUCCAGGAAGCUGAAGGCAAUUGCAACUUUUUGUUGCAACUGCUCUAAUGUAACACACUAGACUGAGGUAAGGCAAGCUAAGCGCUCCUUCUCAAGGAUUCAGUCAUUUGUUUAGUCACUGACUCAUUCAUAAAACAAAUUAUGCUGGGAAGUCAGUUAUUUCUUGAGAGAAUGAACAAAUAUUUAUUUAUUGAGUACAUAGUUAACAGUCUAAUGUCCAGUCAAAGCAUGAGACAUCAGAAUGCAGAAUGACAACUGGGUAAGUGUAUGAAAGAGGAGAGGUCCCUGCACCUAAGCUUCCUGAAGGCACCCUGAGAUGUGUUUGGGAACCACAUUAGGGGAAGGGGUGGGGAUGAUGGAUGGGGUUAGGGGGAGUUUAUUCCAUAAGAGGGGAUCUGCCUGUGCAAAGGCCCUGUGGCAGAAGGACUGAUUUGCCUUCUGUUUGCUCAGUGGCGGCCUGUGUGACUGGAGCAUAGAGAUCAAAGGGGAAAACUGGGUCGGUUGAGGCUGGAGAGGUGGGCAGAGGCCAGACCACCCAGGGCCUUGGGGCCAUGGUCAGAUUAUUGAUGUUUUUCCUAAGAAAAGCAGAAACCCAUGGAAUGGAAAUGACAUGACUGGGUUGUGUUUUGAAAAGAAUAACAAAUAACUACAGUGUAAAGAUCUUUAUAUAUAUAUAUAUAUAUCAACUCAUUUAAUCUUCACAACAGCCUUCCAAGAUAAGUACUGUUAUCAUCUCUAUUUUACAUUUCAGGCAACAGAGGCUCAGAGAGGUUAAGUAACUAACUAGUCCUGGGUCAUAUGGCAAAGGUGGGAUUUGAACCUGUCAGGAUUGUCCUGUGGUUUGGCCAUGUGUUUGACAAUGGCACCACCCUGCCUCUGGCUUCUGUGAGGAGAAUACAUUUAGAUGUGGGCACACUAGAAGAAUGACCUUCUUUUUCCUUUCUUCCUGCCCACUCUGCACUGGCUCCCCUCAACACUUUCAUCAUUGCAUGCAGGAGAGCUGUGGGAGAAUGAUUUUGGCAACUGUUGCUCUAGUCCAGGGUUUCUCAGUGCAGCCCUGUUGAAAUUGAGCUGGAUAAUUCUUUCUUGUGGGGCCUGUCCUGUGUUUAGUAGCAUUCCUGGCUUCUGCUCAUUAGAUGACAGUGUCAAUUUCCCUCCCCCAGUUGUGACAGUCAGAAAUGACUCCAGACAUUACCACCAGAGGUCUUCUAGAGGGCAGAAUCACCCCUGUUUGAGAACAGCUGGUCUAGUCCUAGCCUGUGUCUGUCUGUUGUUUCUCACCUUGGACCUGUGGCCCAACUCUUUCCUGAAAUAUCAUGAACCUUGAGCCAGUGUAUUAGUGGCACUAGUAGAAUUUUAACACUGGCUCAUGCCCAGCACCUCUGGAGGCAGAUGGGCUCAGACCAGGUAGAUUCAGAAAGCUUAGAGAAGAGCAUUUUCUACUAUUCAGCCUUUGGUGGGGUAGCCUAGACACUUGGCCAUCACUCAGAGCCAUUUUCUUUUCUCUGGGGACAUACACCUUUUCAGUUCUAUGCAACUGAUUCCAAUAUGAACCUUUUAUAAUCUACUCUCAUGUCUGGGCAUUGCCUGUCAAAUUUCUGGAGAACUAUUUCCUAAAUAGCUAUGAAGCUUUCCUUUGCAGGCUUUCAUUUGUUGAGAAGGCUUUUCUAUUGAAGCUAACUGCCCAUUGCAAAGCUGAAUUUCUCAAAUGCCUAUAUUUGGAGAAGAGACUUUUAAGUAAUUAACAAUCCCCUGGUAAAUCUUAUUUUUUAAGAAAGUGCCCUGAGAAGCCUGCAUGGAAGCCUGGCAUCCAUGCAGAUAUGUGGAGAGAAACAUACAAGCCCUCAAAUGAGGUAUGGCCGUGAGUCUGGUGCUGAUGAGUAGUUGUUUCUCUUCCUCCAAAGGCAGGAGAUGCCUCUGUGGAAUGGAGUAGAGUAUUCUAGGAACACCAUCUCUUCUCUGUUGGGCCAAUGGGCUUGGGUAAAUUACUGUUAAUUUUUAAAAUGUCAAUUAUAUACUAAAGUGAACCCCCACAUGACCUCCAUCCAAUUGCAGCAAUUAUCAGCUCAUUGCCAGUCCUGUUUCCUUUCUAUUCCUCACUUCUCUGCCUCAUCCCUAUAUUAUCUGAAGCAAAACUAAGACAUUAUGUCAUUUCAUCCAUAAAUAUUUCAGUAUAAACAUUAUUUUUUCAGAUAAACAUCUUAUACCAAAUUACAAACUCUUUAAAGUAGAGGAGAAUUCUAACGAAGACUUUUCCCCAUAGAGGUGAAACCCUCUGGCACCCAAAUAUGAAAGGCUUAGGUUUUAAUUUAAAAAAAAAUAUUGCUGUAAAACAGCAAAAUGGACCAUUUGGUGGUAUUAUAUGGGGACAUCAGAAGGAUUUACACCACUGACACAUUCCUUAAUUGAUUUUGGCUCUGUUCUUUGAGGAUUUUGCUUAAGUCUUGAUGUCCCAGGGCUGACAUAAUUACAUCUUGGUUAGAGUUUUGUUGUCUCUUUAUGAUUAUUGACAUUUCUUCAUAUAAAUGGAAGGGAUUUCCUGUCUCUUUUCAACUUCUUGGCUGAAUGGUGCCUCUUCCGGAUUUUGAAGAAACAACUUUCAGAGUGUGAGCUUGAACUGAUCAUUGGCUACAGUGUCUACACCUAAGGGUUCUUGGAUCCUGAUUAAUAGUAGCUUUUCUGCAGAGAAUGAAACUGAGAUUAAGCCUUCUUUGUAGGGAAAUUAAACACCUGAAUCUCUGGUGAGGUCUGAACAUAAGCCGCUCAGCUUCUUGCACUGUUUUUCUUAAGGAUCACAUCAGCAUCACAUCGGCUUACCCCCAAAACCACCUGUUUUAUUGGGAAAAAUCUCACUUCUUCAUGGUUGCUUGCUCUGGAGGAUUAAUUAAUUCAACUCUCAUUUGAGCAAUAACUGAGGACCUCCCACUGUACUAGAUGUUGAUCCAGUCAUGGCUCAGUCCCAGCUUUCUGGGAGCUUACUCCAGUAUUGAUUAUUUGAAUGUCUAUUGUACAUCCAACCUUGACACUGCUUUGGUGAUUUGCAGGGUCAGUGGGGUGGCUUCCAUAUCCAAAUAUCCUUCAAUUAGGUAACCAUGGGAUAUCAUUGGGUUGAGCUAGAUUUUUGUCUUGGGCUUGAAUUGACUUUCAAAUCUGUUUGCUCUAGAGAGGAUUGAUUCAAAACACUAUAACAGCUGGGUCAGGAACUUGAGCAGCGUUCUAGCCCUGGCUCCAAUGGGAGCUAGGGAGAGAAGGUAUCUGAAAUGGGAUGAGAAAUGUGAAGGCCAUAGUCCCAUACCAAAACAGACUUUGUGUCCAUCACAUUUCUGUUGAGAGUUGGCUUUGAGCCAAGGAAGACUGAGAGGUGACAAUUAAAUGUCGUCAUGGAAACAGUGUUUCUGCUCUGUAAUCUCAUCUGGUGGUGUUCCUUAACUCCUUGGGCUCCUUAACCCCUGGGAAGGGGUCUCUUAGUAUCUGCUUGAGCACUGGGGUGAUGAGGGAUGCAUUAGCACAAGGAUGGGAGAGGUGAGGAACAAGCAUCUAAAAGCAAAGCUCUGGAGUCCGGUUAUUAACAUGCCUCACAUAACG